AACUAAAAAUAGCCCAAAAAAUCUAAAUCCAUUUUAAAUAUUUUUCACAAGUAAAACAAAACAUUUACAACACUUGAGUAUAGGAGAUAGAAACUUUUUUACAGGCGCUAUAGAGAAAGUACCGCAAGGGAAGGCUGAAAGAAGUUUAUAAGUAGUAAAUAGCAAAGCUUAACACUUGUACCUUUUGCAUAAUGACUCAACUAGAAAAUACUAGCAAAAAGAAUUAAAGUUAGAUGACCCGAAACCAGACGAGCUACCUAUCAACAGCCUGCAGGGCGAACUCAUCUAUGUGGCAAAAUAGUGAAAUGAUUGUCAGGUAGUGGCGAAAUACCUAUCGAGCCUGGUGAUAGCUGGUUAUCCGGGAAAAGAAUAUUAGUUCUAAUUUAAGCUUUGCCAAAUAGAUAUAUAAAAUAUAAUGCAAGCUUAAAUAAUAGUCUAAAAAGGUACAGCCUUUUAGACAAGGGAUACAACCCCAAUUAGAGAGUAAAAUUUCAUAAAACCACAAUAGUUGGCCUAAAAGCAGCCACCAAUUAAGAUAGCGUUCAAGCCCAACAGUACUAGAAACUUAAUACCACGAUUAAGUAGAACUCCUAAUAUAUAACCGGAUUAUUCUAUUUUUUAAAAUAGAAGCAAUAAUGUUGAUAUGAGUAACAAGAAACAUUUUCUCCAUGCACAUGUGUAUAUCAGAACGAAUAAAUCACUGAUAGUUAUCAAAACAAGCAUAACCACCCGCCAGUUUCUUUAUAUUAAUUGUUAAUCCAACACAGGUGUGCAAUAUUUAAGGAAAGAUUGAAAGAAGUAAAAGGAAUUCAGCAAACAUAAACCCCGCCUGUUUACCAAAAACAUCACCUCUAGCAUAUAUAGUAUUAGAGGCAAUGCCUGCCCAGUGACUCUGGUUCAACGGCCGCGGUAUCCUGACCGUGCAAAGGUAGCAUAAUCACUUGUUCUCUAAAUAAGGACUAGUAUGAAUGGCUCCACGAGGGUCUAACUGUCUCUUACCUCCAAUCAGUGAAAUUGACAUUCCCGUGAAGAGGCGGGAAUAAAAAAAUAAGACGAGAAGACCCUAUGGAGCUUUAAUUAACUAAUUCACUAACAUAUCACACCUAUCUAAAAGAAAUAAACUUAUAACUACUGAAUUAGCAAUUUGGGUUGGGGUGACCUCGGAGUAAAAUUUAACCCCCGAGAUUUAGAUUAUUGAGACCCACAAGUCAAAAUUAUAUAAAUAAAUACUGAUCCGCCACUGGCGAUCAACGAAACAAGUUACCCUAGGGAUAACAGCGCAAUCCUAUUUAAGAGUCCCUAUCGACAAUUAGGGUUUACGACCUCGAUGUUGGAUCAGGACAUCCCAAUGGUGCAGCAGCUAUUAAUGUGUUCGUUUGUUCAACGAUUAAAGUCCUACGUGAUCUGAGUUCAGACCGGAGUAAUCCAGGUCGGUUUCUAUCUAUUCAUAAGUCCCUCCUAGUACGAAAGGACUCGAGAGACAGGGCCCACUUACAAUAAGCGCCCUAAUAAAAUAUAUGAAAUAAUCUUAACUUUACUAUACAUAUUAAACAUCCAAGAUAAGGAUAUA
rnacentral:rRNA from 1 species